rnacentral:rRNA from 1 species
UGGGGAAUAUUGCACAAUGGGCGCAAGCCUGAUGCAGCCAUGCCGCGUGUAUGAAGAAGGCCUUCGGGUUGUAAAGUACUUUCAGCGAGGAGGAAGGCGUGUGUAGUUAAACCGCAACGAUUGACGUUACUCGCAGAAGAAGCACCGGCUAACUCCGUGCCAGCAGCCGCGGUAAUACGGAGGGUGCAAGCGUUAAUCGGAAUUACUGGGCGUAAAGCGCACGCAGGCGGUCUGUCAAGUCGGAUGUGAAAUCCCCGGGCUCAACCUGGGAACUGCAUCCGAAACUGGCAGGCUAGAGUCUUGUAGAGGGGGUAGAAUUCCAGGUGUAGCGGUGAAAUUGCGUAGAGAUCUGGAGGAAUACCGGUGGCGAAGGCGGCCCCCUGGACAAAGACUGACGCUCAGGUGCGAAAGCGUGGGAGCAAACA